UGUUUCGGCAAGGGGGUCAUCCCGACUUACCAACCCGAUGCAAACUGCGAAUACCGGAGAAUGUUAUCACGGGAGACACACGGCGGGUGCUAACGUCCGUCGUGAAGAGGGAAACAACCCAGACCGCCAGCUAAGGUCCCAAAGUCAUGGUUAAGUGGGAAACGAUGUGGGAAGGCCCAGACAGCCAGGAUGUUGGCUUAGAAGCAGCCAUCAUUUAAAGAAAGCGUAAUAGCUCACUGGUCGAGUCGGCCUGCGCGGAAGAUGUAACGGGGCUAAACCAUGCACCGAAGCUGCGGCAGCGACACUAUGUGUUGUUGGGUAGGGGAGCGUUCUGUAAGCCUGUGAAGGUGUACUGUGAGGUAUGCUGGAGGUAUCAGAAGUGCGAAUGCUGACAUAAGUAACGAUAAAGCGGGUGAAAAGCCCGCUCGCCGGAAGACCAAGGGUUCCUGUCCAACGUUAAUCGGGGCAGGGUGAGUCGACCCCUAAGGCGAGGCCGAAAGGCGUAGUCGAUGGGAAACAGGUUAAUAUUCCUGUACUUGGUGUUACUGCGAAGGGGGGACGGAGAAGGCUAUGUUGGCCGGGCGACGGUUGUCCCGGUUUAAGCGUGUAGGCUGGUUUUCCAGGCAAAUCCGGAAAAUCAAGGCUGAGGCGUGAUGACGAGGCACUACGGUGCUGAAGCAACAAAUGCCCUGCUUCCAGGAAAAGCCUCUAAGCAUCAGGUAACAUCAAAUCGUACCCCAAACCGACACAGGUGGUCAGGUAGAGAAUACCAAGGCGCUUGAGAGAACUCGGGUGAAGGAACUAGGCAAAAUGGUGCCGUAACUUCGGGAGAAGGCACGCUGAUAUGUAGGUGAAGUCCCUCGCGGAUGGAGCUGAAAUCAGUCGAAGAUACCAGCUGGCUGCAACUGUUUAUUAAAAACACAGCACUGUGCAAACACGAAAGUGGACGUAUACGGUGUGACGCCUGCCCGGUGCCGGAAGGUUAAUUGAUGGGGUCAGCGCAAGCGAAGCUCUUGAUCGAAGCCCCGGUAAACGGCGGCCGUAACUAUAACGGUCCUAAGGUAGCGAAAUUCCUUGUCGGGUAAGUUCCGACCUGCACGAAUGGCGUAAUGAUGGCCAGGCUGUCUCCACCCGAGACUCAGUGAAAUUGAACUCGCUGUGAAGAUGCAGUGUACCCGCGGCAAGACGGAAAGACCCCGUGAACCUUUACUAUAGCUUGACACUGAACAUUGAGCCUUGAUG
rnacentral:rRNA from 2 species